rnacentral:lncRNA from 1 species
CUUAGCAGUGAAUGAUAUUGAUAGAGAGUUUAACAGAAAUUUUUAAACAAUGAAUCUUGUCUGAGGUAAUCACUGAAAUAAUUUCAAGUACGUGACAAACAAAAAAUAAUGACAUAAACACCGAAUAUUGUUGGGAAUCUACUUAACAUGCACAGCGAAAAUUAAAAUAAUUUUCGAUUCCCAUCAGGAUUCAUCUUUGUGUUUAGAUGAAAAUUGUGAUAAAAGUCAUAUAUUUUUCUAGAUCUGCAAAUCCCUUUGCUUUUCUUUGUUCCAAUGAUCUUGAUUCGCCACCCACAGCUGUCCAAUUGUCCAGCCUCCAACAGUGAUCCACACAGAGAACAAGAUUGUAGUAUUAGGAUUUUUCUUGUGCUAGCAAGAAUAAUGAAAAAUCACUACAAAUUUGAAAACCCUAAUCAUAUUUAUAUAAACUCGAACGGGCUUGAUCUUACCCGAUCCAACAUUUAAUUAACCCAUUUAAUUAAAUUUGAUCUGUGAAUUAAUUAAUCCAAUUAAUCAAGGCUUAUAAAUAAGUAAGUUAAUUAAUUUAUUUAUUCAACAUUUGUUAAAUUAAUUAAUUGACAAAUCACAAUCUUCCAGUUCUCGUUUUGUAUGCGAUCCAUCAGGUUACGAUCACAAUGCCUAACAACGUGAAAUAUUAUUAUGAUCUAAUUAAAAUUGAUAAAUUAAAACACCCUUUUAAUUUAUCACCAAUCACACUCGCCGUCCCAAAUUGACAUCUAGCAAUGUGUCAGGGCAAUACAUGUGACGAGAAAUGUCACGUGGUAUAACAAAACCAAACUCGUUCAUUUACUAUGAAACUAUAAUCCCUUCGUCAAUAUGAUCCGAUCAAUUACGAGAUAUGGAAGUACGGCAAUCUCAAUUAUCGAUCAUAUCUUUCACUCCACUAUUAAGUUAAUAUAAGUCGAAAACUCCUUUUUCGAUUUAUGAGUACACCUUGGCCAAGGAUUUCGUUAUUGAUUUAAUUGAAUGAAACGCAGAUCAUAAUAUUUUACUAUCUAAGAGUGACAAAUCCUUUAUUGGUCAUUCACAACAUUUAUAUGAUUCUUAACAUACUCGAACAAUGCCGUAUUAGCGGCUCUUAGCAGAGCAACAUCCAACACCGUCAAAAUAUGACCAUCCUCAUAUAAGGUACUAUGACGACCUCAAGUCAAAAUGACCAAUCCCACUACCGAACGUUAGAGAUUAACCACUGACACUCAGAUAGUUAUCCAUGUAGAAUCUCUCGAUGGAUCUCCAAUGUUUUGUUCUAUAACAAAACAUCCACGUGCUCAUUUAAGUGUCACCACACUUUAGCUUGUGAGAUCAGGUACUUACUUCACAAGUAAGAAAUGCUACACGUAAUGGUCUAUCCGUAAUAACGAUAUCCGUACCUUGUUAUUACUUACGACCACGGACGAUUUAAGAUUUAAUCAUAUGUAAUUUGCAUCUCACAAUCACAACUCCUUGUGAUUAACAAAUUACGAAAAUUUGAAUCUACGGACUCUAUUAUUUAAUUUAAUUAUUUAUUAAUUAAAUAAUAGAUCUGCCAUUAAAUUGCAUUAAUUAUAUAUCAAAAGUAUUUAUGUCCAAAGUUGAUUGGACCUAGGGCAUAACACUUACAAACUCUCACUUGCACUAGAUCCAAUCACUUAUGUAUCAAAUAUCAUAAGAGUCUACAUGACGAUCAUGUUUAUACUACGACAACUCUUUGUCAAUGGAUCUGCAAUAUUGUUAAAUUUGGGAAUUAGUUCUUCUCUUUACGUCAUUUCUAUGUAUUAUCUCUCUUAUGAGAUUAUAUCGCCUUAAUACAUGUUUGGAUCAUUGAUGAGACCUUAGUUCCUUCGCUUUCGUGAUGGCUCAAUUGUUAUCACAAUACAAUGGCAUGUGAUCAACAAUAUCAGGACCUACUCCAAGUUUAUUUAUGAAUAUCAUGAUCCACAUUGCAACUCUUUACUACUU